rnacentral:rRNA from 1 species
CACAUAGUUAGCCGGGGCUUCUUAGUCAGGUACCGUCAUUUUCUUCCCUGCUGAUAGAAGUUUACAUACCGAAAUACUUCAUCCUUCACGCGGCGUCGCUGCAUCAGGGUUUCCCCCAUUGUGCAAUAUUCCCCACUGCUGCCUCCCGUAGGAGUUUGGGCCGUGUCUCAGUCCCAAUGUGGCCGGUCACCCUCUCAGGUCGGCUACUGAUCGUCGCCUUGGUGAGCCUUUACCUCACCAACCAGCCUAAUCAGACGCGGGUCCAUCCCAUACCACCGGAGUUUUUACCCCUGCACCAUGCGGCGCUGUGGUCUUAUGCGGUAUUAGCAGACAUUCUAUCUGUUAUCCCCCUGUAUGGGGCAGGUUACCCACGCGUUACUCGCCCGUCCGCCACUCAGUCACAGUACUAAUCAACCCGAAGGAAUACAAAAGUAAAAGUGCUUCGUUCGAACUUUGCAUGUGUUAAGCAACGCCGCCAGCGUUCGAUCCCUGAGCCAGGACUACGAAAACUCUCUACGG